GAUGAACGCUGGCGGCGUGCCUAAUACAUGCAAGUCGAGCGAACAGACGAGGAGCUUGCUCCUCUGACGUUAGCGGCGGACGGGUGAGUAACACGUGGAUAACCUACCUAUAAGACUGGGAUAACUUCGGGAAACCGGAGCUAAUACCGGAUAAUAUAUUGAACCGCAUGGUUCAAUAGUGAAAGACGGUUUUGCUGUCACUUAUAGAUGGAUCCGCGCCGCAUUAGCUAGUUGGUAAGGUAACGGCUUACCAAGGCAACGAUGCGUAGCCGACCUGAGAGGGUGAUCGGCCACACUGGAACGGAGACACGGUCCAGACUCCUACGGGAGGCAGCAGUAGGGAAUCUUCCGCAAUGGGCGAAAGCCUGACGGAGCAACGCCGCGUGAGUGUUGAAGGUCUUCGGAUCGUAAAACUCUGUUAUUAGGGAAGAACAAAUGUGUAAGUAACUAUGCACGUCUUGACGGUACCUAAUCAGAAAGCCACGGCUAACUACGUG
rnacentral:rRNA from 1 species